GAGGCCAGCCUCUUCUCCGUGGUGCCCAGCAACAGGACAAGAGGCAAUGGGCAGAAACUGAACCACAGGAAGUUCCAUCUGAACCUGAGAAAAAACUUCUUCACUGUGAGGGUGACAGAGCAUUGGAACAGGUUGCCCAGAGAGGUGGUGGAGUCUCCUUCGCUGGAGAUAUUCAAAACCCGUCUGGAUGUGAUCCUGGGCAAUAUGCUCUAGGUGACCCUGUUUGAACAGGGAGGUUGGACUAGAUGAUCUCCAGAGGUCCAUUCCAACCUAAACGAUUCUAUGAUUCUGUGAGAAGCAAAAGCUUUCACAUGAGUAAUAGUGCAAAACUUUUUAGCGUAGACAUUGAUUUUGUGUUGCAUUAGAGAUGCAAAGUUUGCAAACUUAAUUCCAUAAUGUCAGCUGCUAUAAUAAUUUUUGUAGUGACAGGGAAUAGAAUGAGUUAGGGAAGACUAUGGUGACAAACAAUUGACAACUUAAUAAUUUGAUGGAUUUUUAACUUAGUGCUAUUAAGGAUUUCAUUCUAAAUAGUAAAGAAUCAGAUUACUAAUCCAGUUUUCUUCAUUCAGAGUUGAAUAAAAUACAAGAAACAUGCAACAAACUGGUGGAAGAGAUUGUGGUGAAACUAGAAGCAGAGCUACAACUGUCUCCGGUGUUGCAGUGUCUUUGAAGAGUGUGUUCAGGUCCAAUACUGUCACCACUGACGCGGCUUCAAACUUUCAAUGGCAUACGUGAUACUUUACACUCUGGAGCUGUUGGAGCCUACUUCGUGACCAGGCUCUCGUGGUCAUUGGCUCAUGAGAAGGCACACUAGCAUCUGCCCUACAGCAGAAGAGUUGCAGGCAAUCCAGAAAUGUUUCUCAUGGUGAACGUGCUCUUUUGUCUCUGAUUCACUGACAGCAAGAAUCAGAGAAAGAGGAAAAAAAUGAAGAGAAAAGGUGGUGCAUUUUCAAUAAUUCUUCCUUUUAGAAAUUAUGUUCUACUGUGAUAUAAUACCAAAAUGAAAUUGGUGAGAAAGCUGCAGUGUUAGGCUACCUGUAGAACAUGCUCAUGGGAAUGGGGAAUGACCUAUAUCACUACAACAGAGGAGGAAAAAAUAGCAUGCUAAGAGAAUAAACUCAACUCUUAUUUUUCCUGGUGCCUUUUG
rnacentral:lncRNA from 1 species